rnacentral:rRNA from 1 species
GAUGAACGCUGGCGGCGUGCCUAAUACAUGCAAGUCGAGCGAACAGACGAGGAGCUUGCUCCUCUGACGUUAGCGGCGGACGGGUGAGUAACACGUGGAUAACCUACCUAUAAGACUGGGAUAACUUCGGGAAACCGGAGCUAAUACCGGAUAAUAUAUUGAACCGCAUGGUUCAAUAGUGAAAGACGGUUUUGCUGUCACUUAUAGAUGGAUCCGCGCCGCAUUAGCUAGUUGGUAAGGUAACGGCUUACCAAGGCGACGAUGCGUAGCCGACCUGAGAGGGUGAUCGGCCACACUGGAACUGAGACACGGUCCAGACUCCUACGGGAGGCAGCAGUAGGGAAUCUUCCGCAAUGGGCGAAAGCCUGACGGAGCAACGCCGCGUGAGUGAUGAAGGUCUUCGGAUCGUAAAACUCUGUUAUUAGGAAAGAACAAAUGUGUAAUUAACUAUGCACGUCUUGACGGUACCUAAUCAGAAAGCCACGGCUAACUACGUG